rnacentral:rRNA from 1 species
CCUACGGGGAGCAGCAGUGGGGGAUAUUGCACAAUGGGGGAAACCCUGAUGCAGCGACGCCGCGUGGGUGAAGAAGCGCCUCGGCGCGUAAAGCCCUGUCAGCAGGGAAGAAAAUGACGGUACCUGAAGAAGAAGCCCGGGCUAACUACGUGCCAGCAGCCGCGGUAAUACGUAGGGGGCAAGCGUUAUCCGGAUUUACUGGGUGUAAAGGGGGCGCAGACGGCGAUGCAAGCCAGGAGUGAAAGCCCGGGGCCCAACCCCGGGACUGCUCUUGGAACUGCGUGGCUAGAGUGCAGGAGGGGCAGGCGGAAUUCCUGGUGUAGCGGUGAAAUGCGUAGAGAUCAGGAGGAACACCGGUGGCGAAGGCGGCCUGCUGGACUGCAACUGACGUUGAGGCCCGAAAGCGUGGGGAGCAAACAGGAUUAGAUACCCGAGUAGUC